rnacentral:lncRNA from 1 species
UGUGAGAAUGGGAGAGUCGCGGGAUCGUUAAGAUCUUGGUGCCCAGAGCGCCGUCCUUGGAGGUGCCCAAGCCAUGACAGAUGAUGAGCUGAUGAAUCUCAACAACCACCUUCAGAGGAAUCCUGUAACAAAAGAAACUUCCUUUGACCAUUCCACCAGCAAGGCAGGUGCCUGGCAAAAGAUCAUCCCACUGGGUUCCUGACAAUAUCUCAAGCCACAGAAAUCAAAUCAGUCUAAAAAUAAAUUAUCUAUAAAAACAUGAGCUGCUGCAG